GGCCCUAGGACCAUGCGUCAGGACUACCUGGCAUGAUGACUCCUUGCUGUCCCCAGUCCACCUGGCCUUGCUGCUGCUCCAGUUUCAACUGUUCUGCCUGCGGCUAUGGAACCCUGACCUGUUCACCGGACGUGCUAAAAAAGCCAACUGACAUUUACUCCUGAGGUGCUGACUUGCUGCACCCUCGAUAACUACUGUGAUUAUUAUUAUUUGACCAUGCUGGUCAUUUAUGAACAUUUGAACAUCUUGGACAUGUUCUGUUAUAAUCUCCACCCGGCACAGCCAGAAGAGGACUGGCCACCCCUCAUAGCCUGGUUCCUCUCUAGGUUUCUUCCUAGGUUUUGGCCUUUCUAGGGAGUUUUUCCUAGCCACCGUGCUUCUACACCUGCAUUGCUUGCUGUUUGGGGUUUUAGGCUGGGUUUCUGUACAGCACUUUGAAAUAUCAGCUGAUGUACGAAGGGCUAUAUAAAUACAUUUGAUUUGAUUUGAUGAUGCUAGCUAAGAUUUGAAAGUAUGAUGUUGACAUGAUCAGUCCAAUCAAAGCUGCUGUAGAUAUAAUGUGAUUUGACAUCAUUUUAUUUGUGGCCAUUGACCUUGAGCAUUCUUGGAUGGGCACUUCUAAUGUAACUCUAUGGCAGCAUCCAAGGGGCUUGAAAUUUCUAGCUCUACCCUUAGACUUGGCGGUGAUGUAGUGUCCCCAUAAGUGACAAAAUACUGAGCCAAACACAGCGCACGCUUCGUAUUUUCUGUUGGCUUGCCCCACCACCACAGAAAGCACUCAGCUAGGCUGAAACACCCGCAUUUUGGAGCUUCCUUACUCAAGAAAACAUAAAAGAGACUAUGUUUGUAUGCGGCUUUAUUAACUCAAUGAUAUAUUGUUUGCAUUGUUUGCAAACUGAUAUGUGACACGAAUGAAUACCAAAAUAACAUGCAAAACAGGAAAGCCCUCCUACAUAAGCCAAAUAUUUUGCUAAAAAUGUGGGGCUCAAAACGGGUCGCCACUGGAGGUUGGGUUUAUGAAGGUUACAUUGACAUCUAAUUUGCCCAACAAAGGACGCCAUAAUUUCAACUUUAGCUAGGUAUACUAUCAUUCAUCCAUGGUUGAUUAGAUCUUUGGAAGUUUAGAAGUAGUUACCAUUAGCCCUAGACCAAAGGUUGGCAUAUGAUGAUAUUGAUCUGGUAUUGAUGGCAGCCGGCAAUACACUCAUAUCCCCCGUUAUCAAGUGUCAGUGUGCAGAGGUGAGGACGGAGUCAGGCACAGGACACAGAACUGAGUAAAAUAACGUACUUUACUCAAAAAAUAAACAACCAUAAAUUCCACGCAGGGAAAACACACCAUAACACAGAAGACUAACACUAAACAAGAAACAAUCACGCACAAAACAUCAUGGGAACCAGAGAGUUAAAUAAGGAAAAAAAUAUAACAUAAUGGGAACAUGGUGUGUACAAUCAAGACAAAACAAAUGGAAAAAGAAAUGUAGAUCGGUGGCAGCUAAAAAGCCGGUGACGACGACCGCCGAAUUCCGCCCAAACAAGGAGAGGCACCAACUUCGGCGGAAGUCAUGACACCCGUGGACAGGUUCGUACCUAAAACAUUCUCCAUUCAGACUGCAUUGGAUUUCCUCCUUAACUAGAUUUAAUGGCGAGAAGGUGGAAAAAAACAGGCAAGAUAUGCAUACUUCCUUUAUGAAACACCAUUUUCCACCAGCUUGCUAGUUGCUACUUCCUGAUGUUGGGCCCUGCGUUCAGCCAGGGGUAAACAACAGACUGCUGCAACCUGAUUGUCUGAACGCAAUACGCAACAUCCGAGACUAGCGUUUCUAGGCAUUAGCCACUUUAGCAUGGUGGUGGAAAAGUGUGUUUCAAUAAGAAAGUACGCAUAUUGUCCCCUUUUUUUCUGCCUUCUCGCCAUUAAAUCUAGUGAGAAUUAGGCAGGUCUGAUACCGAAAAAGAAAGUAAAGUAUUGCCUAUUUCAGCCAUAUUUUAUUUUAUUUUGGGGAAAAAAGUGUGAAGUAACAUUUUUCAAAGUAAGCUCAGUUAAGUAAACUAUAUAUAUUUUCUAAGCUUUAGUUUAAGUUUAUAACUUCUUCCAGUGUGAAGUAACUGGUAGCUUGGUGAACUCCGUAUAUUUUCAGAGUAGCUUCCCCAACAGUUUGAUUCUUUGAUUCAGUUUGACACACACAGGAAGAUGUUGAGCGUGAAACACCCAGCAGCAUUGCAGUUCUUGACAGAAACUGGUGCGCCUGGCACCUACUACUAUACCCUGUUCAAAGGCACUAAAAUCUUUUGUCUUGCCCAUUCACCCUCUGAAUGGCACACAUACACAAUACAUUUUCUUGAACUGCACUGUUGGUUAAGUCAAAUCAAAUCAAAUGUUAUUUGUCACAUGUACUGAAUACAACAGGUACAACCUUACAGUGAAAUGCUUACUUACAAGCCAUUAAUCAACAAUGCAGUUUUGAGAAAAAUAAGUGUUAAGUAAAAAAAAAAAAAAAAAAAAAAUCAUUAAAGAGCAGCAGUAAAAUAACAAUUGUGAGGCUAUAUACAGGGGGUACUGGUACAGAGUCAAUGUGCGGAGGCACCGGUUAGUCGGGCUAAUUGAGGUAACCUGUAAGUCUAACUGUCAGUUACACAUAUUAUGUCGUUGUUUUGUGUUUGAAUUGUGUAACUGACAGUUAGACUUACAGGUUAUGUCGUUGUUUUGUGUUUGAAUUGUUUACGUGUCCGCUGUGCGGGGAAAUGAUAAGACAAGCGGAACUACGUAGCUAAUAACUGUUGUAACGGGGAUUCUUAUUGUAGCAACACACUUUUGGAGGGAAGGCAAUCCCGCACUGUGUUAGCUAAGUUUUCAUGUCAUCGGGUGUAGUUCAUAAAGUUUGAAGCGUAUAUGUUAGGAUGGUAACGUUAUAAUAAUUAAGGAUGAAGCGUGAAUUCAUGCCAGGAAUAAUAAGUGUGAAGUUUGAUUUCCUCCCUUCUGUAAUAAGCAGCCAAUGAGUUCUCACGGAAGGUGAUAAUUCUGACUAAAUCUACAGAAUAAAGCCGCCAGUUAAAAUCAA